GAUGAGGAUAGAGGUCGCGGCUUUUAUAUGAUUCUGGCACGAGAUCCAGAGAAGAUCGAUGACUCCAGAGGAGGGAAAAGCCGCCGAAGUCCGCUGUGCAUUCUCUGGGCACACGGGCUGGGGCUGUACCCGAAAGGGGCAGAACUGUCACGUUUGCGAGCCGGGCAAACGUGGUGUGCUAUCUUCAAC
rnacentral:ncRNA from 2 species